rnacentral:rRNA from 1 species
UACGUAGGCGGAAAAUUAAGUCAGUGGUGAAAUCCUGCAGCUUAACUGUAGAACUGUCAUUGAUACUGGUUUUCUUGAAUAUAGUUGAGGUAGGCGGAAUGUGUAAUGUAGCGGUGAAAUGCUUAGAUAUUACACAGAACACCGAUGCGAAGGCAGCUUACUAAGCUAUGAUUGACGCUGAGGUACGAAAGCGUGGGGAGCGAACAGGAUUAGAUACCCUGGUAGUCC